rnacentral:rRNA from 1 species
GACGAACGCUGGCGUCGUGCCUAAUACAUGCAAGUAGAACGCACAGUUUAUACCGUAGCUUGCUACACCAUAGACUGUGAGUUGCGAACGGGUGAGUAACGCGUAGGUAACCUGCCUGGUAGCGGGGGAUAACUAUUGGAAACGAUAGCUAAUACCGCAUAAUAUUAAUUAUUGCAUGAUAAUUAAUUGAAAGGUGCAAUUGCACCACUACCAGAUGGACCUGCGUUGUAUUAGCUAGUAGGUGAGGUAACGGCCCACCUAGGCGACGAUACAUAGCCGACCUGAGAGGGUGCUCGGCCACACUGGGACUGGGACACGGCCCAGACUCCUACGGGAGGCAGCCGUAGGGAAUCUUCGGCAAUGGACGAAAGUCUGACCGAGCAACGCCGCGUGAGUGAAGAAGGUUUUCGGAUCGUAAAGCUCUGUUGUAAGAGAAGAACGGGUGUGAGAGUGGAAAGUUCACACUGUGACGGUAUCUUACCAGAAAGGGACGGCUAACUACGUG